UACGAAGGGGGCUAGCGUUGCUCGGAAUCACUGGGCGUAAAGCGCACGUAGGCGGAUUGUUAAGUCAGGGGUGAAAUCCUGGAGCUCAACUCCAGAACUGGCCUUUGAUACUGAAGAUCUUGAGUUCGGGAGAGGUGAGUGGAACUGCGAGUGUAGAGGUGAAAUUCGUAGAUAUUGGGAAGAACACCGGUGGCGAAGGCGGCCAUCUGGACCGGCACUGACGCUGAGGCGCGAAAGCGUGGGGAGCGAACAGG
rnacentral:rRNA from 1 species